rnacentral:rRNA from 1 species
GAUGAACGCUGGCGGCGUGCCUAAUACAUGCAAGUCGAGCGCACGGACGAGAAGCUUGCUUCUCUGAUGUUAGCGGCGGACGGGUGAGUAACACGUGGAUAACCUACCUAUAAGACUGGGAUAAAUUCGGGAAACCGGAGCUAAUACCGGAUGAUAUUUUGAACCGCAUGGUUCAAAAGUGAAAGACGGUCUUGCUGUCACUUCUAGAUGGAUCCGCGCUGCAUUAGCUAGUUGGUAAGGUAACGGCUUACCAAGGCCACGAUGCAUAGCCGACCUGAGAGGGUGAUCGGCCACACUGGAACUGAGACACGGUCCAGACUCCUACGGGAGGCAGCAGUAGGGAAUCUUGCGCAAUGGGCGAAAGCCUGACGGAGCAACGCCGCGUGGGUGAUGAAGGUCUUCGGAUCGUAAAACUCUGUUAUUAGGGAAGAACAGAUGUGUAAUAAACUGUGCACAUCUUGACGGUACCUAAUCAGAAAGCCACGGCUAACUACGUG